GUGAGGAAUAUUGCGCAUUGGAGGCAACUCUGACGCAGCCAUGCCGCGUGCAGGAAGAAGGCGCUACGCGUUGUAAACUGCUUUUAACCGGGAAGAAACCCCAGGACGUGUCCUGGGUUGACGGUACCGGAGGAAUAAGCACCGGCUAACUUCGUGCCAGCAGCCGCGGUAAUACGAAGGGUGCAAGCGUUAUCCGGAUUCAUUGGGUUUAAAGGGUGCGUAGGCGGAGCGUUAAGUCAGUGGUGAACUCUUGCAGCUUAACUGUAGACUUGCCAUUGAGACUGGCGCUCUUGAGUGCGCUUGAAGUGGGCGGAAUGUGCCGUGUAGCGGUGAAAUUCUUAGAUAUGGCACAGAACACCAAUUGUGAAGGCAGCUCACUAAGGCGAUACUGACGCUGAGGCACGAAAGCGUGGGGAUCGAACAGGAUUAGAAACCCGAGUAGUCC
rnacentral:rRNA from 1 species